UUAUGGUAUUUAUUAAAUAUUACACAGCUUUUCUGAUAAUAAACCAUCCUGAUCGUAAAAAAACAUUACCCUGUAACUACUUCUGGCGCAAGUGAUUCGGUGCCUACUAAUGGAAGAAAACUGCACUCAUAACAAAUUGCAUUAAACUUGACGAUAUUUUUUCGUUUGAUAAGAUAUUCAAUAAGUUGAAGGAAGUACAUACAUUUCUUUAGUUCAAAGGGGGAAAUAGAUUUGCUUAGAGAUGCAAGUUGCAAAAUGAUUAUCGCCAUAUAGAUAAAGUUUGAACCUUGCCUACUUCUACACAUAGCUUUUAAUCUUGUUGUGUUUUGGAUUGAGCCUUGAACGUUAUUAGAGUAAUUUAUUUUAAUUUUCCUAAAUAGCACUGGUUUGGUUGCUUGACUUUGCUAAGCAAAAAAGUUGACAAAUUUGGGAGCUCUUAGUUUGUGAUAUGUGUAUAGUAAAAUCUCAGCAAUGUAUGUUGUUUGGGUGCCACUGCUAAGCUGUUCGGUUGCAGUAGGUUUGACGGUAUUGUCAAGAACAAGGGCCCACGUUCAAGAACAUAAUUCAGAAAAAAUGGAGAAACUUUUCAAACAGCAGGUCAUGAGGACUAAUCAGACUAGAUAGCAAAGAAAAGUAAAAUGUUUGUAUAAUAAUGAGGUAUCUAUAGAUAGCUAUUGUAAUUGAUAUGUGUAGGGUAAUUUUAUAGAAUAUAUGAAUAAAUAUUAUAUAAAAACGGGUACGAUUCAUCCACCAAAUAAAAUAUUAUUGUAAAUUUUAAUGCAUUGCCGAUAAUAGUUUAGUUUUUACUUAAUUAGGUUUUAUUUAAUUGUGUAAUACAUCUAAUAUGAACUUGGAAAUUUCGAAUGUUUGAUUAUUAAUUAGUAUAGUAAAAAAUAGUUAUUUAUGUAACAUGUAAAACUUCUAAGAUAAAGCUAGAAAAUAUUAUGUUUGACGUAAUUUCUAUAAAGAAUUGACCAGGGUUUCAAAAAUGUAUUAAAAAUAAAAUCUGUUGACAUAAUGGCGAAUAAUUAGUGUAGAAAUAUAUGUUGCUAAAAUUUUCUCGAAGUACGGAACACAUUCGUCAAUACAAUUUGGACACCGUA